rnacentral:rRNA from 1 species
CCCUUAGAUGUUCUGGGCUGCACGCGCGCUACACUGAUGCACUCAACGAGUUUACGACCUUGCCCGAUAGGGUUGGGUAAUCUUUUUAAAAUGCAUCGUGAUGGGGAUAGAUUAUUGCGAUUAUUAAUCUUCAACGAGGAAUUCCUAGUAAGCGCGAGUCAUCAGCUCGUGCUGAUUACGUCCAUGCCCUUUGUACACACCGCCCGUCGCUCCUACCGAUUGAGUGCUCAGGUGAAUAAUUCGGACUGCAGCAAUGUUUGGAUCCCGAACGUUGCAGCGGAAAGUUUAGUGAACCUUAUCACUUAGAGGAAGGAGAAGUCGUAACA